UGAUUAAGCUAGUUGGUGAGGUUACGGCUCACCAAGGCGACGAUCAGUAGCUGUUCUGAGAGGAUGAUCAGCCACACUGGGACUGAGACACGGCCCAGACUCNUACGGGAGGCAGCAGUGGGGAAUAUUGGACAAUGGGGGCAACCCUGAUCCAGCCAUGCCGCGUGAGUGAUGACGGCCUUAGGGUUGUAAAGCUCUUUUCUCCGGGACGAUAAUGACGGUACCGGAGGAAUAAGCCCCGGCUAACUUCGUGCCAGCAGCCGCGGUAAUACGAAGGGGGCUAGCGUUGCUCGGAAUCACUGGGCGUAAAGGGCGCGUAGGCGGCUGAUUUAGUCGAGGGUGAAAGCCCGUGGCUCAACCACGGAAUGGCCUUCGAUACUGNUUGGCUUGAGACCGGAAGAGGACAGCGGAACUGCGAGUGUAGAGGUGAAAUUCGUAGAUAUUCGCAAGAACACCAGUGGCGAAGGCGGCUGUCUGGUCCGGUUCUGACGCUGAGGCGCGAAAGCGUGGGGAGCAAACAGGAUUAGAUACCCUGGUAGUCCACGCUGUAAACGAUGAAUGCUAGCCGUUGGUCUGCAUGCAG
rnacentral:rRNA from 2 species